CGGCUGCUCAGUAACACGUAGUCAACCUAACCUAUGGACGGGAAUAACCUCGGGAAACUGAGAAUAAUGCCCGAUAGAACACUAUACCUGGAAUGGUUUGUGUUCCAAAUGAUUUAUCGCCGUAGGAUGGGACUGCGGCCUAUCAGUUUGUUGGUGAGGUAAUGGCCCACCAAGACUAUUACAGGUACGGGCUCUGAGAGGAGUAGCCCGGAGAUGGGUACUGAGACACGGACCCAGGCCCUAUGGGGCGCAGCAGGCGAGAAAACUUUGCAAUGUGCGAAAGCACGACAAGGUUAAUCCGAGUGGUUUCUGCUAAAGGAACCUUUUGUUAGUCCUAGAAACACUAACGAAUAAGGGGUGGGCAAGUUCUGGUGUCAGCCGCCGCGGUAAAACCAGCACCUCAAGUGGUCAGGAUGAUUAUUGGGCCUAAAGCAUCCGUAGCCGGCUCUGUAAGUUUUCGGUUAAAUCUGUACGCUCAACGUACAGGCUGCCGGGAAUACUGCAGAGCUAGGGAGUGGGAGAGGUAGACGGUACUCGGGAGGAAGUGGUAAAAUGCUUUGAUCUCUCGGUGACCACCUGUGGCGAAGGCGGUCUACCAGAACACGUCCGACGGUGAGGGAUGAAAGCUGGGGGAGCAAACCGGAUUAGAUACCCGGGUAGUCCCAGCUGUAAGCUAUGCAAACUCAGUGAUGCAUUGGCUUGUGGCCAAUGCAGUAUUGCAGGGAAGCCGUUAAGUUUGCCGCCUGGGAAGUACGUACGCAAGUAUGAAACUUAAAGGAAUUGGCGGGGGAGCAG
rnacentral:rRNA from 1 species